UGAUAUGUUUGAUAUUAGGUUGUUUUUUGGUUUAAAGCAACUAAAUAUUAGACAUAUUCCU
rnacentral:pre_miRNA from 1 species